GACGUAGGGCGCGAGCGUUGUCCGGAUUUAUUGGGCGUAAAGAGCUCGUAGGCGGCUUGUCGCGUCGAAUGUGAAAACUCGGGGCUCAACCCCGCGCUUGCAUUCGAUACGGGCAGGCUCGAGGUUCGGGUAGGGGGAGACUGGAAUUCCUGGUGUAGCGGUGAAAUGGCGCAGAUAUCAGGAGGAACACCGGUGGCGAAGGCGGGUCUCUGGGCCGUAACUGACGCUGAGGAGCGAAAAGCAUGGGGGAGC
rnacentral:rRNA from 1 species